UGGCUCGAUUGCCCGAGUUCGGAGCCAUCGCAUGUGUACCAGCGAUCAGCGGCAAUACAUGUACACAUGUCACACAGCUCCGACGGAAGACCUCUCGUUGCUUUGCAACGAGCUUUGCUCUAGUUAGAUUUAAUUUUUGUGCAUUGAGACUCUUUUAUCUGUCAUGAAGUUUUCAUUGAAUUACAGCCGCUGUGAACCCUAUCGUAAAAUGUUCCAAUGGGGAUCGUUAUAACAAUAUAAAUGUAAGCACACUGAAAACUGUUGCAGAUGACAUGUGCCUGUGUGACUGUGAAUACGCAAAGAAAAUUGAGUUUUGGAACAAUAAAAUUAACCAGCUUCGACAGUACCUAGAACUAAAUCAGAAGCUGACCCAAAUAAACCGUCAUCUAAGCAUGGAUUUUAAGAAUCUGUCAUCGGCCUCUAACAAAAGGAUCAGUGCUAAUGACGAGCGACCAUCUGCCGCUGCUGUGGGCUAUAUUGGAGCUACCGUCUUGGCUUUGGUUAUUGGUGGAAUAGUUGUGUUAGACUUUCUAAUCAUAACUCGCCAGAUCCGCCUACUUUGGAGAGCCACCUGUAGAUAAAGUACACUAGAGUGGAGAUGUACAAACAGUCCGACUAGAAGAGCUACACUCCAUUGUAUAUCAACUUGCCAUGAUAUAUAACCUGUUUUAACAUUUUAACGUUGUUAUCUAUGUGAGAAAACAUGAACUUUCAAAUCCCCGAUCAGUAACGGUAACAAAACGCUUGUCUUUAUUACUUUUCAGAGUUUUGCAAUGUCAACAUGUUCAAUAUGCCAGUGGUUAAUUUAUAUGAAUUACUAUUAUUGUUAAUAAUGUAUUAAACGAGUAUGAUUUAUUCGUACGUGUGACAAAUCAUU